rnacentral:rRNA from 1 species
UACAGAGGGUGCAAGCGUUAAUCGGAAUUACUGGGCGUAAAGCGAGCGUAGUCGGUUAUUUAAGUCGGGUGUGAAAGCCCCGGGCUCAACCUGGGAAUUGCAUUCGAUACUGGAUAGCUAGAGUUCGGCAGAGGGAAGCGGAAUUUCCGGUGUAGCGGUGAAAUGCGUAGAUAUCGGAAGGAACGAUCAGUGGCGAAAGCGGACUUCCAUGGACCAGCAACGUAGGAC